rnacentral:rRNA from 1 species
UACGGGGGGAGCAAGCGUUGUUCGGAUUUACUGGGCGUAAAGGGCGCGUAGGCGGCCACCGCAAGUCGACUGUGAAAUCUCCGGGCUUAACCCGGAAAGGUCAGCCGAUACUGCGGGGCUAGAGUGCAGAAGGGGCAACUGGAAUUCUCGGUGUAGCGGUGAAAUGCGUAGAUAUCGAGAGGAACACCGGUGGCGAAGGCGGCAUCCUGGACCAACACUGACGCUGAGUGAGCGAAAGCCAGGGGAGCAAACGGG